GUCUCUCUGGAGAGUCCUUGAAUGCAAGGCGCCGAAGGGUUAAGGUUCCCAUAAGUUUUUUCUGUGAACCGAUAUCUCAGGCAAACGGACGGAGCUUAA
rnacentral:ncRNA from 1 species